rnacentral:rRNA from 1 species
UACGUAGGGUGCAAGCGUUAAUCGGAAUUACUGGGCGUAAAGCGUGCGCAGGCGGUUUUGUAAGUCUGUCGUGAAAGCCCCGGGCUUAACCUGGGAAUGGCAUUUGUGACUGCCCGGCUAGAGUGUGUCAGAGGGGGGUAGAAUUCCACGUGUAGCAGUGAAAUGCGUAGAGAUGUGGAGGAAUACCGAUGGCGAAGGCAGCCCCCUGGGAUAACACUGACGCUCAUGCACGAAAGCGUGGGGGAGCAAACAGG